rnacentral:lncRNA from 1 species
AAAUAGAAAAUGACUGAAAACAAAUUCUCUAUUGUUCCAUAGAGCUUCAGGAAUAGAACCCUCAGAAAUACAGGCAGCUAGGAGUGUUCUAGUGAGAUUCACCGUUCCAUUAGCUAUUUCUGCAAGUUUCUUUUAGCUUCAAUUCCUGGAGUGAUCCAUGACCUGAAUGGGGCUGAAAUAUUUUAAGUGUGAUGUUUAAAAGGCUUGUCUCAAAGUGAUGGUCGACAUUUUCUACACACUAUUCCUGGUUUAAAGCUGAGGCUGGAAAACUAAGUUAUUACUGACUACUGUUGUUAGUUGCCGUUGAUCCUGCCUUCCCUUUUCCUUUCAUUUCAGGUAUUCGUCAAUCCCAUGGACACCAUCUCAAUGUAUUUUGAAGUUUAACUCUGAAAAAUGUGAACAAAUUGGUUGUUUCUUUAUAGGAGUCUCACUUCUUCUCUUUCAAUCUCAUGCUUAAUAUGCUUACUUAGUUUAGAGAUAUCUUGCUUAGGUCUCUCUACAGUUGAGUAGGAUGUCACCAUGUUUGUAAUUAAGUAUUUAUCAUCAAAUGUACCUGUAAAGCUAUUUACAUUAGUGCUAGAUUUUGUUGGAAAUAUGGAAUAUGUUAUAGCUUGAUUAUGUGAAUUUGUUAUUCUGAAUCGGUAGAUCUGUAUAAAAGGGACUCUCCAGG